GUCUCUCUAAACUCUGAUUUAGGCUUCUAUGUGAAUUCACAUCUCAGAAAGUCGUUGCUCUAUCUUAAUCAUCUUAUUACUUGCUACGAAGGCUGCAUCUUCAUAAGGUUAUUAUGUUAAUUACUUAUUUUCUUAAGUUCUCAAAUAUUAUUCAGCAAGGACACAUUCGCUAACUAGAAUUUAGAAGCCUCCAGUCACAAAAGCAACCAAUCAUUACGUAUUCUUCGGUUUGUGCAUGUCAACUAGUGGAUUUUUAUCAACUACUAGAAAUUAGCUGCUGUUUUAUGGAAGUUCGUGCUAUUGUUUUUGUUAAAAUUUUUGACAUUAUAUAAAUAAAGAAAUGCUGAUACACUGUUAAUUCCUUGGUUGCAGAAUCUGUGUUCCUGCAUACCGUCCUAUAACAGAGAUUCUGGAAAAGGAGGAGUGCCUUACUGCUAGCUUGUCGAACCAUUGAAGGCAGCAGCAUUAGUAGCUGGGAAAUCCCGUUCCACACUGAGUGUGAGUUCUGACAUUUGGCCAGUAAACAUGGAAAACUUCUCAUGAGAAGGCGGGUGCAAGUGGAAGAAACUUAAUGGUGAAGGUGGUUGCAGAAGGACAAAGCCUCUUAGAUACAUUGCAGGAAGCGUGCAAAGAGCCUCAUUUGCUGAUUUGGAGAUCUCUCGAUGCUGCACUUCAGCAUUUUUGUGGGCUCAUGCAGUGCUUGUGAGUU